rnacentral:lncRNA from 1 species
GCACGGGGAUUAGACAUAUAGGCACGGGGAUUAGACAUAUAGGCAUGGGGAUUAGACAUAUAGGCAUGGGGAUUAGACAUAUAGGCAUGGGGAUUAGACAUAUAGGCACGGGGAUUAGACAUAUAGGCAUGGGGAUUAGACAUAUAGGCACGGGGAUUAGACAUAUAGACACGGGGAUUAGACAUAUAGACACGGGGAUUAGACAUAUAGACACGGGGAUUAGACAUAUAGACAUGGGGAUUAGACAUAUAGACACGGGGAUUAGACAUAUGGGGAUUAGACAUAUAGACACGGGGAUUAGACAUAUAGACACGGGGAUUAGACAUAUAGACAUGGGGAUUAGACAUAUAGACA